rnacentral:rRNA from 1 species
AGCGGGGUGAUCUACCCAUGGCCAGUGUGAAGCAGUAGUAAGAUGCUGUGGAGGCGCGAACCCACGUAGGUUGAAAACUGCGGGGAUGAGCUGUGGGUAGGGGUGAAAGGCCAAUCAAACUCCGUGAUAGCUGGUUCUCCCCGAAAUGCAUUUAGGUGCAGCGUCGCAUUAGCUUGGUGGAGGUAGAGCUACUGGUUGGUUGAGCGGGACUACAAUCUUAGCAAUGUCAGCCAAACUCCGAAUGCCACUAAUUGUGUUGUGCGGCAGUGAGACUGUGGGGGAUAAGCUUCAUAGUCGAGAGGGAAACAGCCCAGAUCGCCGGUUAAGGCCCCUAAGGGUGUGCUAAGUGGAAAAGGAUGUGGGAUCGCGAAGACAGCCAGGAGGUUGGCUUAGAAGCAGCCAUCCUUGAAAGAGUGCGUAAUAGCUCACUGGUCGAGUGGUCCUGCGCCGACAAUGUAGUGGGGCUCAAGCACACCGCCGAAGCCGCGGCAAUACUUUGUAUUGGGUAGGGGAGCGUCGUGCAUGUGUUGAAGCGUUACCGUAAGGCGGCGUGGAGUGUGUGCGAGUGAGAAUGCAGGCAUGAGUAACGAAUUGGAAGGUGAGAAUCCUUCCCGCCGGAUGACUAAGGGUUCCUGGGUCAAGUUCGUCUUCCCAGGGUGAGUCGGGACCUAAGGCGAGGCCGACAGGCGUAGUCGAUGGAUAACCAGUUGAUAUUCUGGUACCCGUAUAUCCGCGCCCAUGAUAAAGCACUGAUACUAACCACCGCGGAUACGAAUCGUUGUGUUCUUUGAGCACGUUGGUUUGUUGAUGUCGUGGGGCCUGAUGUGUGGUUCAAGUGAUGGGGUGACACAGUGUAGUAGCCAUGCCGCUUAGUGGAUUGUUGGUGUAAGCGUGUGAGGUGGUGUGUAGGCAAAUCCGCACACCGUAAUGC